UCACAGCAGCUACAUUAUACAAGUUGUACGAGUGUUUGGAUUUACAAGCAUCAAAAUUCCCUGAAAAUGCCUUAGUGUACGAGUGCCCAGCAAACAAUGACCGGCGGCCCGCCGUCGGCUUAAGAGAGGCCGGGGGUGGCUGAAUGCAGGCAGCCAUGCCCCCGUUGCGCCUGCGAUUGCCCGCUCUGGACUUUAACUUUCAGCAAGGUGUUUGUUAAGUGAAACGUCGAUCGAAUUUUCGGUUUGACGUAUCUCAACUUACAUGAAUUACGGUAGUCAUUGCCUUAAAUGAAUUACGUUGAAAAACAUUUAAAACAAACUGAAUUUCAUAAGCAUGGAAGAAUAAUAUAUAUAAAAAAAUAUAUGUAAACGAUAUAUUUUCUAACAAAGGUAUUAUGUAAUUCUAUCUGUAAAUGAUAUCAAGUUUUCCUGAUAUGUAUUAAUUUCAUGUCUAAUGCAGAGAGGUUAUGAAUAUAUCACGCAGUUAGAAAGUCGAACAUCAAAUUUGCAAUGUCAGAUAUUUAAGGAGGGCGCCAUCCACUGAUGCCUUUAGCUAUUUUCCAUGAGCCAAUACUGAAAAUAUUCGAUAUUUGUAACGGCUAUCAAGGAGAAAAAGAACUUUUUGUGAUUGCAACAAUGUUUGUGUGCCAUCACUUUACACUUAGAUGUCUCAAAACUCCUUAAACAUUGAUAAUGUAAAGGAUCUGCUGUUGAAAAUGCUAAAAACUGGCAACAGUACCGCACCGUGCCAUCAGACUUGCCAGAUUAUCGUACUCAAAGCAUCGUACAUACUGGCUUCUGACCCAUAACAAUUAUCAAGAUGGAAGCCCCAAUAAUUAACCAUUUUAUCAAUAAUCUUAUAUGAAGCCAGUUUUGGGGGUGAAGAAGACGGUAUUUAGGUCGUAAAUCGGCAAACAUAAGAGGAUGAGUACGACAAUCUAGUAGCGGAGCAGCGGGCCGGGCCAUCUUCAUUCUUCAAAACAAAGGUCUGGCGGGGCAGGACCGCCGCUCUACAAGAAAACUCUCUCACCUCAACAAAAGGCAAGUAAUCCUGAUUCUGUUGUAAGUCAAGCUUAGCAUUUGUUCAUUCUAGUGACAGAGAAGUUCAAAGUAGAUGCCAAGACAUGGCAGAAGAAUCUUACUGGACAAAAAGGAGGCGACUGAAAUUGCGUAUGUCAGCACAUUUAGAUUUCCUUCAAAAUUCCUCAGUAAACCAAGAUGUUGACUUGUAUGACACUAACCAACAGUUAUCUGAGUCAUGUGCUCACAGUUCAGAAAGCGAAGUGUUGAGUAAUGAUCAUUAUGAAGCUGCAGGAACCUCUGAUGUAGGUUUUGAGGAAGCCCAAAAUCCAUGUCUGGACAGAGAUUGUUAUUCCUCUCCGCUUUCUGAUAGCUCAGAAAGCAACGGCGAUAUUAAUGUAUAUGAAACUGAUACUCAUGACAGUGUUGCAGAGCAGUUGUGUCCCAAACUUGCAGAAUGGGCAGUUAAGUAUCAAAUUCCACAAACUGCAUUAAGCAGCCUUCUUUCUGUACUAAAAAACUAUCAUCCAGACAUCCAAAUGGAUGCCAGAACUUUGCUUAAAACACCAAGCCAGUGUAAUGUUAAGGAGAUAUCUGGAGGCUCGUACUAUCAUUUUGGUGUUGAAAAAUCUCUUGUAAGGAUUUUAUCCACUACAGAAAGUGUGGAUACCCUGAAAGAUUGUACAUUUAUUUCAUUGCAAGUAAAUAUUGAUGGACUUCCCUUGUUCAAAAGUUCAAACAUACAAUUCUGGCCAAUUUUAGCAAGAAUUAAUAACCCACUUCUGAGUAGCCCUUUCAUUAUUGGAUUGUUUUGUGGGAAUCGCAAACCAGAAAACAUUGUUGAAUUUUUUAAAGACUUCAAAGGUGUCUCACGCCCGCAGGUGAGCCAUAAUGAGCUGUGCCAAGGCCACAUUCUUGAGUCCUGCCCGGGCUAGUCAUAUUACUGAUUUUAUGCAGGAUGAGUUAAUAAAUUGUUAUUUUCAUCAUAAUUUCAUAAUGAAAUUUACAAAAUGAGUAUUCAGAAUCAUUCGUCAGUUGUGUAUUUAUAAAUUAUUGAUGGAUUUAAUAGGCAAAAUGUAACAAAAGCUGAUGAAGGUAUUUCCUGUUUCCUGUAUUUUCAGGUAUUGACAUAAGAGUGCAAGCAAGUAUAAAGGCUGUUGUCACUGUCUAGUGGGGUCACUCCCUCCUAAACCUAGAUCAAGAGCAAGACCCAGAUGAUGGCAGCCUUACAAGUUUUUGAGGAGCUUGAUGUCCUCGAGGAUGCUGCAGGGGAAAGGGUCAGACUGCCGAGAAGGAUUGUGAAGGAUCGCUUGGAUUUAUUCCUGACUUUGACUGAAGAGGAAUUUACAUCCAGGUUCAGGAUAUCAAAGCAAAGCGCAAGGGCCUUACUUGCUGACUUACAUUUACCAGAGGCAGCUGAUGCAAGAGAAUGUCCUGUACCACCUCACCUUUAACUCCUCAUCACCUUAAGAUGGAUGGCCACUGGUGACCUGCACCAAACUAUUGGAGAUUGCCUGGAUGUCUCUCAGCAGUUUGUAAGUUCAUGCUCUUCACAUACUGUGCGUGCCAUUGCUGCUUUAUAUCAGCGGUAUGUAAAGUUUCCUGGAAGGCAUGAGUUAGGGUCCAUCAAGACAAACUUUGAAGCAAUCUCUGGAUUCCCAGGUGUCAUUGGUGCAAUAGACUGCACACACAUCCCCAUUCUCAGUCCAGGUGGUCAGCAAGCAGAAACUUACCGAAGCAGAAAGGGCUUCUUUUCAUUAAAUGUACAAGCAGUGUGUGGUCCAGACUUAACAUUUUAUAAUAUUAUUUGUCGAUGGCCAGGAUCAGUCCACGACAGCAGAAUAUUUGCUAAUAGUUCUCUGUAUGCUCAGUUGCAAGCUGGCGAUUACAAUGGCCAUUUGUUAGGGGACUCAGCCUACCCUCUUCGUCCCUUUCUUGUGACUCCUGUUGGGAAUCCAUCACGGCCAAAUGAAGGACGAUAUAACUUGGCUCAUACUAAAACCCGUAAUGUAAUAGAGAGAGCAUUUGGAGUGUGGAAACGACGAUUCCGUUGUCUGGCCAUUCCUAUGCGUACAAGCCUGGACACAACCAUGGCCACAAUCUGCAGUGCAGCUGUUUUGCACAACAUUGCAAUGGCAGACAGGAAUGAAGAUAUGGAAGAUUAUGACAAUGAUAUUAUAAAUGAAGAGGAAAGACUCAUUGAGAAUGCACAAAAUAGACAUGCAGGACAGAGG